rnacentral:rRNA from 1 species
CCUACGGGUGGCUGCAGUGGGGAAUAUUGGGCAAUGGGCGCAAGCCUGACCCAGCAACGCCGCGUGAAGGAAGAAGGCUUUCGGGUUGUAAACUUCUUUUAAGCGGGAAGAGCAGAAGACGGUACCUCUUGAAUAAGCCACGGCUAACUACGUGCCAGCAGCCGCGGUAAUACGUAGGUGGCAAGCGUUGUCCGGAUUUACUGGGUGUAAAGGGCGUGCAGCCGGGAAGACAAGUCAGCGGUAAAAUUGAGAGGCUCAACCUCUUCGAGCCGUUGAAACUGGUUUUCUUGAGUGAGCGAGAAGUAGGCGGAAUGCGUGGUGUAGCGGUGAAAUGCAUAGAUAUCACGCAGAACUCCGAUUGCGAAGGCAGCAUACCGGCGCUCAACUGACGCUCAUGCACGAAAGUGUGGGUAUCGAACAGGAUUAGAUACCCUGGUAGUC